GCAAAAACGAUGAAGGGGACAGUAAGCGCCGGGAAGCCCCCAGCGAGCCGGGGUUGGGUGGGAGCCCGGUGGAUUUACCGGUGGCUGAAGAUCACCCCUGAGUGAGGCCCGAAACCAGCGGAGUAGGAGCCUACGGCUAUUGCCGUUAUCUAGACAAGGGAGGUGCGGGAAUUUUCCGCACCUUACCAGGGUGGUACCGCGGGAGAAAUCUCGUCCCUUUU
rnacentral:ncRNA from 1 species